rnacentral:lncRNA from 1 species
UCUAUCGUGGACGUUACCUUUAACUGUACGGGGUUAGGAAGUCCCAUACCAGAUGAAGUUAGGAGUUUAUAAGUGUCGGUAAUACCAAACAGACCAUUGAGGCGGUUUUUAGCUGUAACACCCAAUACUGGACGGGGUAUGGGAACGAUGGUUUGAUUGCAAGAAAGUUUUUAUAUCCACGUGUAGCAGGGGAUCUAUGGACCCCUAGUGACACCGGUAAGGAAAGGUAAAAU